GCGCAGCAGGCGCGAAACCUUCGCAAUGCGGGAAACCGCGACGAGGGACUCCCAGUGCCUACGCUCAGCGUAGGCUGUUCCCGAGCCUAGAAAGCUCGGGGAGUAAGGGCUGGGUAAGACGGGUGCCAGCCGCCGCGGUAAUACCCGCAGCCCGAGUGGUGGCCACUAUUAUUGGGCCUGAAGCGUCCGUAGCCGGCCCGGUAAAUGCCUGGGUAAAUCGUGAGGCCUAACCUCACGAAUUCCGGGUAGACUGCCGGGCUAGGGACCGGAGGAGGGAGAGGGGUACUCCAGGGGUAGGGGUGAAAUCCUGUAAUCCCUGGAGGACCACCGGUGGCGAAGGCGCUCUCCUAGGACGGGUCCGACGGUGAGGGACGAAAGCCAGGGGAGCGAACCGGAUUAGAUACCCGUGUAGU
rnacentral:rRNA from 1 species